UCUUGCUUAUUGUUGAACUUGUUGUUCCUGCUAUUUUAGUGGUUUGCUUCGUGCUCCCCGAAUCUCCAUUUGUUAAUGUUCUUUUUGGGAAGCCUGUAACUCUCUCUCUUUUUUAUUAGUAGCCUACCUUUUUAUAAUUCUUGGGACUCUCCUACAUAUUUGUAAUUCUUUUUAAUUGCAAAUCAUAAUUUAAUGCCCCUUUAUGCUUUGAUUUCCUUCCAGUUUUUAGUCUAAUUGCCUUAUUGAGAUCAUCCCUUUAUGUUAUGCUAAUUACUGCCUAUUAAUGCUGAUUAUUACCUUAAUUCUGCUCACUGUUGCUGCUUAAUUAUUCUGAAUCUACCAUGAUCCUUAAUCUGCAUAUCCUUAGUGUCAUCUUUCAGAAUUAUGUUGAUUGUGGCUAAAUGCUCUACUUAUAGCAAGAGAGGGAAGGCACAUGCACAAUAAUGAGAGGAUCCUCCCAUUAAAGUAUUGGUUGGAGAGAUGUUUUUUCCUUUCUUAAAAGCUGAAUGAGGUCUCUUUCAAAGCCAAAUGAAGCAUAGUUGCAGCAUGUAGCAAUUACUACAUUGAUUUGUAUUGAUUUACAUUACUGCAGUGUUAUUACUGCCUUAACUUGUAUUGAUUUUCAUUAUUACAGUUUUGUUAUUGUAUUGGU